rnacentral:antisense_RNA from 1 species
AUAGGCAGCCGCUGCCGCGGGGAGAAGCAGUAUCGUGCAGGGCGGGCACGCUGGUCUUGCUUACAGUUGGGCUUCGGUGGGUUUGAAGCACACAUUAGGGGGAAAUGGCUCUGUUCGUGCAGGUUUGCGCAGUCUGGGUUUCUUAGGUUUAGCGGGUUGGGUGGGUUUCUCUGGGGGUGCGGUGGGAAGCGGAUCAGCUGGGAUAACGGCCCUGAGCAAGAGUCUCUGUCCCGCUCCCGGCCUGACGCGGGGCUUCCAGCGGACACCACCGACGAUUUUAUAGGUUCAGAAAGUGUGUCUCAGAGGAGUUAGAGAAGACCGAUUAAUAGAUGACAGUGCUAAAGCCUGGAUCUCCUGAAUCCUGGAUGAAAGUGUCCUAAGUUAGAUUCCUGGGAAGAAAAUUCUGAGACACAUUCUGCAGGAUGAUUAUUAGGGCUCAUCCUUGGUUUCAACACCCAUAGAAAGAAGGGGGAAGAAGAAAUCGAACAGAGAGACAGAAGUCGAGAUGCAUUUCAGGCCAGGACUCUUGGCUGAACGCACAGGAGCUCUGGAGCUAGAAUGGCCCUUCAGAGUUGUCCUGAGUUGGUCUGAGAUGGCCAGUUCUUUAUAUUCCUGCAUGGGAUAGUCACUGGAUGUCCACCCCAGGAAGGGGUGUGGCCGAGACAGUCCCUGAAAUGCCCGCCAGCACUCCCUACACCUGGAGCGACAAGACCAACAUCACAGGGGGAAUGCACUGGGUGAUGGAUCACAGCGUUCAUCCCAGAAGAUGAGGAUUCAGAAUUGGCUGACAGCUACGUUCUAAAUGUCAGUGUUCUCCAAAAUUCAUAUGUUGAAACUUAAUUCCCAAUGUGAUGGCAUUAGGAAGUGGGGCCUUUGGGGGAGGGACUAUAGGUCAUGAGGGUG